AACGCAUAUUGCGCCCUCUGGUAUUCCGGAGGGCAUGCCUGUUCGAGCGUCAUUUCUAUCCUCAAGCACGGCUUGUGUGUUGAGCAAUUUGUCCUUUUAAAUGGACAUGCUUGAAAAGCAGUGGCAAUGGCGAGUUUGGAGCCCCAGUGUAUAGAGCUUCGUCACACACUGCGGUGGCCCUGCUCCACCAUCUUCUGUCAGUUUUCGCUACAACAAAAAAAAUCUGAUUGACCUCGGAUCAGGCAGGGGUACCCGCUGAACUUAA
rnacentral:misc_RNA from 1 species